CUCGUAGGCGGCUUGUCGCGUCGGCUGUGAAAACCUGGGGCUCAACCCCGGGCCUGCAGCCGAUACGGGCAAGCUAGAAUUCGGUAGAGGAGACUGGAAUUCCUGGUGUAGCGGUGAAAUGCGCAGAUAUCAGGAGGAACACCAGUGGCGAAGGCGGGUCUCUGGGCCGAAAUUGACGCUGAGGAGCGAAAGCGUGGGGAGCAAACA
rnacentral:rRNA from 1 species